UUUCUCCCUUUUUACAGCCUUACACACCUUUUAUGCCUCGAAGACUCACAGGACGCAGUAGAUACCAAUCACAGCAAACAAUACCACCACAUCCAUACCAUUCCAGCCUAUUACCAUAUGUGCUAUCAGUGCUUCCAGUGCCACCUGCAGUUGGACCAGCUUUCAGUUUUGAGUUGGAUGUGGAAGAUGGAGAAGUGGAAAACUACGAGGCACUGCUGAAUUUGGCAGAACGUCUAGGAGAAGCCAAACCUCGAGGACUGACAAAGGCAGACAUAGAACAGCUUCCAUCUUACAGGUUUAAUCCAAACAACCACCAAUCGGAACAGACGUUGUAAGUACACCUAUCUCAAAUUUACAUACUUUACAUGGCUGUGUUUCCAUUCCUUUAGGCUGCAGCCUCAACUGGAUAAAUACUGUAACACAAGCACUC